rnacentral:rRNA from 1 species
CAGCAGCCGCGGUAAGACAGAGGUCCCGAGCGUUGUUCGGAUUCAUUGGGCGUAAAGGGUGUGUAGGAGGCCAGGUAAGUCAGGUGUGAAAUCUCAGAGCUUAACUCUGAAACUGCGCUUGAUACUGCUUGGCUAGAGGAUCGGAGGGGGUAACGGAAUUUAUGGUGUAGCAGUGAAAUGCGUAGAUAUCGUAAGGAACACCGGUGGCGAAGGCGGUUACCUGGAAGAUUCCUGACUCUGAAACACGAAAGCCAGGGGAGCAAACGGGAUUAGAUACCCCAGUAGUCCCUGUCUCUUAUAC